GGGUUGUGAGGUUAAGCGACUAAGCGUACACGGUGGAUGCCCUGGCAGUCAGAGGCGAUGAAGGACGUGCUAAUCUGCGAUAAGCGUCGGUAAGGUGAUAUGAACCGUUAUAACCGGCGAUUUCCGAAUGGGGAAACCCAGUGUGUUUCGACACACUAUCAUUACGUGAAUACAUAGCGUAAUGAAGCGAACCGGGGGAACUGAAACAUCUAAGUACCCCGAGGAAAAGAAAUCAACCGAGAUUCCCCCAGUAGCGGCGAGCGAACGGGGAGCAGCCCAGAGUCUGAAUCAGCUUGUGUGUUAGUGGAACGGUCUGGAAAGUCCGACGGUACAGGGUGAUAGUCCCGUACACCAAAAUGCACAGGUUGUGAACUCGAAGAGUAGGGCGGGACACGUGGUAUCCUGUCUGAAUAUGGGGGGACCAUCCUCCAAGGCUAAAUACUCCUGACUGACCGAUAGUGAACCAGUACCGUGAGGGAAAGGCGAAAAGAACCCCGGCGAGGGGAGUGAAAAAGAACCUGAAACCGUGUACGUACAAGCAGUGGGAGCCUCUUUAUGGGUGACUGCGUACCUUUUGUAUAAUGGGUCAGCGACUUAUAUUCUGUAGCAAGGUUAACCGUAUAGGGGAGCCGAAGGGAAACCGAGUCUUAACUGGGCGUUAAGUUGCAGGGUAUAGACCCGAAACCCGGUGAUCUAGCCAUGGGCAGGUUGAAGGUUGGGUAACACUAACUGGAGGACCGAACCGACUAAUGUUGAAAAAUUAGCGGAUGACUUGUGGCUGGGGGUGAAAGGCCAAUCAAACCGGGAGAUAGCUGGUUCUCCCCGAAAGCUAUUUAGGUAGCGCCUCGUGAAUUCAUCUUCGGGGGUAGAGCACUGUUUCGGCUAGGGGGUCAUCCCGACUUACCAACCCGAUGCAAACUGCGAAUACCGAAGAAUGUUAUCACGGGAGACACACGGCGGGUGCUAACGUCCGUCGUGAAGAGGGAAACAACCCAGACCGCCAGCUAAGGUCCCAAAGUCAUGGUUAAGUGGGAAACGAUGUGGGAAGGCACAGACAGCCAGGAUGUUGGCUUAGAAGCAGCCAUCAUUUAAAGAAAGCGUAAUAGCUCACUGGUCGAGUCGGCCUGCGCGGAAGAUGUAACGGGGCUAAACCAUGCACCGAAGCUGCGGCAGCGACACUAUGUGUUGUUGGGUAGGGGAGCGUUCUGUAAGCCGUUGAAGGUGUAUCGUGAGGUAUGCUGGAGGUAUCAGAAGUGCGAAUGCUGACAUAAGUAACGAUAAUGCGGGUGAAAAACCCGCACGCCGGAAGACCAAGGGUUCCUGUCCAACGUUAAUCGGGGCAGGGUGAGUCGACCCCUAAGGCGAGGCCGAAAGGCGUAGUCGAUGGGAAACAGGUUAAUAUUCCUGUACUUGGUGUUACUGCGAAGGGGGGACGGAGAAGGCUAUGUUAGCCGGGCGACGGUUGUCCCGGUUUAAGCAUGUAGGCGGAGGUUCCAGGUAAAUCCGGUACCUUUUUAACGCUGAGGUGUGAUGACGAGGCACUACGGUGCUGAAGUAACAAAUGCCCUGCUUCCAGGAAAAGCCUCUAAGCAUCAGGUAACACGAAAUCGUACCCCAAACCGACACAGGUGGUCAGGUAGAGAAUACCAAGGCGCUUGAGAGAACUCGGGUGAAGGAACUAGGCAAAAUGGUGCCGUAACUUCGGGAGAAGGCACGCUGAUAUGUAGGUGAAGCGGUUUACCCGUGGAGCUGAAAUCAGUCGAAGAUACCAGCUGGCUGCAACUGUUUAUUAAAAACACAGCACUGUGCAAACACGAAAGUGGACGUAUACGGUGUGACGCCUGCCCGGUGCCGGAAGGUUAAUUGAUGGGGUUAUCCGUAAGGAGAAGCUCUUGAUCCCCGGCCCGGUAAACGGCGGCCGUAACUAUAACGGUCCUAAGGUAGCGAAAUUCCUUGUCGGGUAAGUUCCGACCUGCACGAAUGGCGUAAUGAUGGCCAGGCUGUCUCCACCCGAGACUCAGUGAAAUUGAACUCGCUGUGAAGAUGCAGUGUACCCGCGGCAAGACGGAAAGACCCCGUGAACCUUUACUAUAGCUUGACACUGAACACUGGUCCUUGAUGUGUAGGAUAGGUGGGAGGCUUUGAAGUGUGGACGCCAGUCUGCAUGGAGCCAUCCUUGAAAUACCACCCUUUAAUGGCUGGUGUUCUAACGUGGACCCGUGAUCCGGGUUGCGGACAGUGUCUGGUGGGUAGUUUGACUGGGGCGGUCUCCUCCUAAAGAGUAACGGAGGAGCACGAAGGUUAGCUAAUCCUGGUCGGACAUCAGGAGGUUAGUGCAAAGGCAUAAGCUAGCUUGACUGCGAGAGUGACGGCUCGAGCAGGUGCGAAAGCAGGUCUUAGUGAUCCGGUGGUUCUGAAUGGAAGGGCCAUCGCUCAACGGAUAAAAGGUACUCCGGGGAUAACAGGCUGAUACCGCCCAAGAGUUCAUAUCGACGGCGGUGUUUGGCACCUCGAUGUCGGCUCAUCACAUCCUGGGGCUGAAGUAGGUCCCAAGGGUAUGGCUGUUCGCCAUUUAAAGUGGUACGCGAGCUGGGUUUAGAACGUCGUGAGACAGUUCGGUCCCUAUCUGCCGUGGGCGCUGGAGAAUUGAGGGGGGCUGCUCCUAGUACGAGAGGACCGGAGUGGACGCAUCACUGGUGUUCGGGUUGUCAUGCCAAUGGCAUUGCCCGGUAGCUAAAUGCGGAAGAGAUAAGUGCUGAAAGCAUCUAAGCACGAAACUUGCCCCGAGAUGAGUUCUCCCUGAGACUUUAAGUCUCCUGAAGGAACGUUGAAGACGACGACGUUGAUAGGUCGGGUGUGUAAGUGUAGCGAUACAUUGAGCUAACCGAUACUAAUGAACCGUGAGGCUUAACCUUACAACGCCGAAG
rnacentral:rRNA from 1 species